GUGAGGAAUUUUCCGCAAUGGGCGAAAGCCUGACGGAGCAAUGCCGCGUGAAGGAUGAAGGCCUAUGGGUUGUAAACUUCUUUUCUUAGAGAAGAAUAUUGACGGUAUCUGAGGAAUAAGCAUCGGCUAACUCUGUGCCAGCAGCCGCGGUAAGACAGAGGAUGAAAGCGUUAUCUGGAAUGAUUGGGCGUAAAGCGUCUGUAGGUGGCUUCAAAAGUCUCCUGUCAAAGAUCAGGGCUUAACCCUGGGCCGGCAGGAGAAACUCUGAGGCUAGAGUUUGGUAGGGGCAGAGGGAAUUCCCGGUGGAGCGGUGAAAUGCGUAGAGAUCGGGAGGAACACCAAAGGCGAAAGCACUCUGCUGGGCCACAACUGACACUGAGAGACGAAAGCGAGGGGAGCAAAAGGGAUUAGAAACCCCAGUAGUCC
rnacentral:rRNA from 1 species